rfam:Nitrospirae bacterium 13_2_20CM_2_61_4 13_2_20cm_2_scaffold_15381, whole genome shotgun sequence.
UGGGGGAUCGUCUAGUGGUAGGACGGCGGACUUUGGAUCCGUCUACCCAGGUUCGAAUCCUGGUCCCCCAG